AUGACUUUGAUCAGCUUCAUCAUCUGGACUCUCAUCUGCUUUACUCAGGGGUCUGAUGGACAAAAUGUUGUUGUGACUCAGCCAGCAGCCAAAUCAGUGCAGCUUGGUCAGACUGUCACUAUUGACUGUAAGGUUAACAGACAAGUAGUUCACUACUCAGGCUCACAGUACUACCUUGCCUGGUACCACCAAAAAACAAGAGAAGCUACUAAAGCUCUGAUCUACAGAACAUCUGAUAGAUUUUCAGGAAUCUCCUCCAGAUUCACUGGAAGUGGAGCAGGAAAUGGAAUAGACUUCACUCUGACCAUCAGUGGAGUCCAGGCUGAAGAUGCAGGAGUUUAUUACUGUCAGAGUCUUCACAGUGGUCCUGUGUUCACACAGUGAAAACUCAUCGUACAAAAACCUCCCUC